GAUGAACGCUGGCGGCGUGCCUAAUACAUGCAAGUCGAGCGCACGGACGAGAAGCUUGCUUCUCUGAUGUUAGCGGCGGACGGGUGAGUAACACGUGGAUAACCUACCUAUAAGACUGGGAUAACUUCGGGCAACCGGUGCUAAUACCGGAUAAUAUUUUGAACCGCAUGGUUCAAAAGAGAAAGACGGUCUUGCUGUCACUUAUAGAUGGAUCCGCGCUGCAUUAGCUAGUUGGUAAGGUAACGGCUUACCAAGGCAACGAUGCAUAGCCGACCUGAGAGGGUGAUCGGCCACACUGGAACUGAGACACGGUCCAGACUCCUACGGGAGGCAGCAGUAGGGAAUCUUCCGCAAUGGGCGAAAGCCAGACGGAGCAACGCCGCGUGAGUGAUGAAGGUCUUCGGAUCGUAAAACUCUGUUAUUAGGGAAGAACAUAUGUGUAAGUAACUGUGCACAUCUUGACGGUACCUAAUCAGAAAGCCACGGCUAACUACGUG
rnacentral:rRNA from 1 species